AGAAUACAUAAUGUUAACGUGACGUCAGAAACAUGAGGUUAUUUGUAAUUGAAAAUACUAAUAUUGGGGUAGUUUACCCGGCGGUAUAUGUUAUUAUAUAAUUAUACCUUAUAUCAAUUUUUAAUAAGUAAUAACCCUUAUUAUUUACUAGGUAAGUAUUCAUUUUUAAUUUAUUGUGUUUUUCGGUUUUCAAUUUUCGCAAG